rnacentral:rRNA from 1 species
CAGCGGCGGACGGGUGAGUAAUGCCUAGGAAUCUGCCUGAUAGUGGGGGACAACGUUUCGAAAGGAACGCUAAUACCGCAUACGUCCUACGGGAGAAAGCAGGGGACCUUCGGGCCUUGCGCUAUCAGAUGAGCCUAGGUCGGAUUAGCUAGUUGGUGAGGUAACGGCUCACCAAGGCGACGAUCCGUAACUGGUCUGAGAGGAUGAUCAGUCACACUGGAACUGAGACACGGUCCAGACUCCUACGGGAGGCAGCAGUGGGGAAUAUUGGACAAUGGGCGAAAGCCUGAUCCAGCCAUGCCGCGUGUGUGAAGAAGGUCUUCGGAUUGUAAAGCACUUUAAGUUGGGAGGAAGGGCAUUAACCUAAUACGUUAGUGUUUUGACGUUACCGACAGAAUAAGCACCGGCUAACUUCGUGCCAGCAGCCGCGGUAAUACGAAGGGUGCAAGCGUUAAUCGGAAUUACUGGGCGUAAAGCGCGCGUAGGUGGUUUGUUAAGUUGAAUGUGAAAGCCCCGGGCUCAACCUGGGAACUGCAUCCAAAACUGGCAAGCUAGAGUAUGGCAGAGGGUGGUGGAAUUUCCUGUGUAGCGGUGAAAUGCGUAGAUAUAGGAAGGAACACCAGUGGCGAAGGCGACCACCUGGGCUAAUACUGACACUGAGGUGCGAAAGCGUGGGGAGCAAACAGGAUUAGAUACCCUGGUAGUCCACGCCGUAAACGAUGUCGACUAGCCGUUGGGAUCCUUGAGAUCUUAGUGGCGCAGCUAACGCAUUAAGUCGACCGCCUGGGGAGUACGGCCGCAAGGUUAAAACUCAAAUGAAUUGACGGGGCCCGCACAAGCGGUGGAGCAUGUGUUUUAAUUCG